UACGUAGGGUGCGAGCGUUAAUCGGAAUUACUGGGCGUAAAGCGUGCGCAGGCGGUUUGGUAAGACAGAUGUGAAAUCCCCGGGCUUAACCUGGGAACUGCAUUUGUGACUGCCAGACUAGAGUGUAGCAGAGGGGGGUAGAAUUCCACGUGUAGCAGUGAAAUGCGUAGAGAUGUGGAGGAAUACCGAUGGCGAAGGCAGCCCCCUGGGCUAACACUGACGCUCAUGCACGAAAGCGUGGGGAGCAAACAGGAUUAGGUACCCUGGUAGUCCACGCCCUAAACGAUGUCAACUAGGUGUUGGGGAAGGAGACUUCUUUAGUACCGCAGCUAACGCGUGAAGUUGACCGCCUGGGGAGUACGGUCGCAAGAUUAAAACUCAAAGGAAUUGACGGGGACCCGCACAAGCGGUGGAUUAUGUGGAUUAAUUCGAUGCAACGCGAAAAACCUUACCUACCCUUGACAUGUCAGGAAGAUUCCAGAGAUGGGAUUGUGCCCGAAAGGGAACCUGAACACAGGUGCUGCAUGGCUGUCGUCAGCUCGUGUCGUGAGAUGUUGGGUUAAGUCCCGCAACGAGCGCAACCCUUGUCGUUAAUUGCCAUCAUUUAGUUGGGCACUUUAAUGAGACUGCCGGUGAUAAACCGGAGGAAGGUGGGGAUGACGUCAAGUCCUCAUGGCCCUUAUGGGUAGGGCUUCACACGUAAUACAAUGGUCGGUACAGAGGGUUGCCAACCCGCGAGGGGGAGCUAAUCUCAGAAAGCCGAUCGUAGUCCGGAUCGGAGUCUGCAACUCGACUCCGUGAAGUCGGAAUCGCUAGUAAUCGCGGAUCAGCAUGUCGCGGUGAAUACGUUCCCGGGUCU
rnacentral:rRNA from 1 species